UGUGCUACAAUUCUGGAGCAAGGUCUCUGCUUCAGGCUGGGGUCUCUCACAAACCCAGCCAGGCUGUGCUGAGGUCUGUGCCAGGGAAGGUUGUGCAGGAUGAGUUUAAUUCUGGGCUCCUCUGACGAGGGUGUGAGUUGUGGGUCUGAAUUGUUUUCAGCUAAUAAGUGUGAGCAGCAGUUGUUCUGGCUUCCUUGGUUGGAAUUGAGAGCUCACACAUUAAAGGGUUCUGGUUAUUGCAGUGCUCAUCUGCUUUUUAACUUUUUUUUUCUGGGUUCAAUGAAACUGGACUCAGCUUCUUUUCUGUUUGAGGCAGCUGUGAGGAGCUGUGAGAGCAGGGCAGCAGUGAUGGGAGAACAAUCCCUGGAGCAGCAGUGACCUCUGCUGGGUGCUGGGGACACAGGGGAUGCUGGGCUGGCAUUUUGGGGGGUUUGUUUGUUCUUCCAGCUGUGGCCUUAGAGUGGGAAAUGCAUCUCGGGGUCUCUUGGCUCAGCUCUCAGGAACAAAGAGCUGUAAAUGGUGCAGAGGUUUUCCUUCCUCAGUCUGUGCCCCAGAGCUGGGAUGUGGGACAGGGCUGAGCAGAAGCCCAGGUGUCCUCCCUGACCAGCCAGAGCUGGGCUUGGGGCCUUUCAGGGGAGGCAGAGCCAGAGCAGAACUUCUGCUUUUGCUGUGGAGUGUCUGCAUCUCUGAUGGAAGUGUCCCACUGAUGGAUAUGGCACUAAAUCCAGCAGAGCAGCAGGCUCUGUGAAGGCUCUGUGAUAUUGCAGAGGUGCUCUGGGGUCUCAGCUCCUAAUCAUCACUUGAAAGCCCCAAGGCCUCUGACCAGGCUCCCAGUUAAUGGAGAGCUGUGCCUCAGCCCAGCUUCCUACCCAGCUGCAAAGGCAAAGCAAAAAUUCUUGUUGAAGCCAUUAAAAAAAAAAAUUGAAAGGUUACAUCAGUACAUUCUGUCUCACAGUGGAGGUAAAUUUAUGUAGUUACAGCUCACCCAGUGCUUUAUAAGAUGCAGAGUGCAGCCUGUGUGUCAGGAAACUCUUUUAGUAGCUGGUGGGGUGAAUUCCAGUCAUUAAAAAAGAUUUUUUGUGUCUUUUCACCAAAUACCAUGUUGCUUUAUCUCCCUGUGCUGUAAAAAGCAUCUGAAGGUGCAAUUCUGAAAGGAGAAUUUUCAUUGUGUGCCUUGCUGUAUGACAAAUGACUUCCUUAGAUUUUUAUCCCCGAGCUACAGACAAUGCUGCCUUUGAAUUGAGAUGGGUCUUUGGGCAGUUUCCAAAUAUUUCUGUUCUCUGGGCAACUGCAGAUUCCUUGGGGCUGGAGGAGGAAUGUGUGUUCAGGCAGACGCAGCUGCUCCCCUGCCCUGCAGUGAGGAGGUGAAACACCAGGAGUGCCACAGAGAUGCUGAAUUGCACAUGGAGGUGCAGAGAAAAUGGAAGGAGAUGGGAAUCUUUAGUGAGAAUUAUUUGCCUUUUGUUGCUCAGUUUUGAAGCACAAACUCUGAGUAUGCCCUGCUGUUGAGUGGUGACUUCUGUGUGCAAACUUCCUGUACUCUUAUUUUAGAAGACAGGGAGAAACCCUGCCUGCUCUAUUUCAGAUUGUUAAGGCAAAGAUCCAUUUCUCCAUUUUUUCUCCCUGACAAGCCAUUUUUUUUAGAACUGAGGAGAAAGGAAUAUCUGAAUCACAGCCACAAGUCAGUGGAAAUGCAAGUUCUGGAUUUAUCUUGAUUCUCUGUCUGGCAAGACUUAAUUAAACUGUGUUGUGGAGCCACAUCCAUCACCCAAAAUAAAAGCAGCACUCACCAAGGCAGGGUGUUUGCUGACGUGGUUUGUCUGGAUGUCUGUGAUAGGUGGGGCUUGUGCUAUAAAAGUGGGGAAAAGGGAAACCAGGGAACAAAGAGGAAGCCAAGAAUGUGUAGGAGCAACAACUGGGAAUGCAGCCUUGACAAAGCUUUGUCUCGUGGGGGUUUUUUGAGGGUCAGGUGGUAGCUAAAGAAAGCCUGCAAUAAUGAUAAAGUUAAAAAAGCUGUUGGUCUCAGGUUGUGUGGGGGGGAAAUGCAAGUUCCUGCAGCUUCCCUUUUCUGUAAAAAACAUGCAGAAGGCAUCACGCUCCAAAAAUAAAUUCCUAGGAAAGUAAAGCCUGCUUGGCUGGAGUUUAACCGAGUGGUAGCUGAGGUACGUUGAAAGAAGAUCUUGUUUCCGAAGGAAGCAGUUUGUGCAUAAAUCAGCGCAGCAGUCCCUGUGCCAGCAGGGGAGGUGAGGUGCGCGCUGUCCUUGGGGAAGGAGCAGCCACCCCGGCGUUUGUUCCUGUCCCGCUCUCGGGGCCAGGGCGGGUCUUGUCAUUGAAAGGAAAAAAAAAAAAAAAAAUUUAAAAAAUUUAAAAAAAAUUUAAAAAAAAGGGUUUUCAGGGCUGCUCCGUGCGCCCUGGAGGGAGCGAACUCGAUCCCUUCCCGAUCCCUGUCCCGGUUCCCCGUCCCGAUCCCUGUCCCUGUCCCGGUUCCCCGUCCCUGUCCCAUUCCCUGUCCCGAUCCCGGUCCCUGUCCCAUUCCCGAUCCCUGUCCCGGUUCCCGGAGCGGGGCCGGCCCGGCCGCUCUCACAUGACGCCGGGGGCGGGCCGGGCCCCGCCGCUCCCGGGGCCGCUCCGGCUGCUGCGGGGUCCGGGCCGGUGCCGGGCUGGGGACACGGCGGGGCUGGCGGAGCGGGGACAGAGGUGACAGCGGGAACAGCGGGCCGGUCACUGCGGACAGAGAGCGCCCGUCCCGCGGGGCUGCAUCCCGCUGUCCCCUCCUUCCAUCCCGCUGUCACCCGCUGCUGUCCUCUCGCUCCUCUCCGCUGUCCCCCGACUGUCCCCUCUCUGCCCCGCCUCGCUGUCCCCUUUCUGUCCCUCCCUCUCUUCCUCCUCUCUCUGUCCCUCCCCCGCUGUCCCACUCUGUGUCCCCUCUCACUGUCCCCCGGCUGUCUCCUCUCUGUCCCUCUGCUAUCCCCUCUCUGUCCCUCCGCUAUCCCCUCCCUGUCCCCUCACUAUCCCCUCUCCCGGUGUCCCCUGUCCCGUGUCCCUGUCCCCUCUCCCCUGUACCUGUCUGUCCCGUGUCCUUCUCCCCUGUCCCCCUCCCGGUGUCCCCUGUCCCUGUCCCCUCUCCCCUGUCCCUGUCUGUCCCUGUCCCGGUGCCCAUGUCCCCGCUGCCCCCCACCCCGCUGUCCGCGGCGGAGCGCGCUGCGGUGCUGCUGUCCUGCGCUCUGUCCUGCGCGGGCUCUGCGCUGCUGCUCGGCUCCCACGCGCUCUGGCCGGAGCUGCGGACGCGCCCGCGGCAGCUGCUGCUCUACCUGUCCCUGGCCGACCUGCUCUCGGCCCUCUCCUACUUCUACGGGGUGCUGAGGGACUUCCAGCACUCCUCGUGGGACUGCGUGCUGCAGGGAGCCCUGUCCACCUUCGCCAACACCAGCUCCUUCUUCUGGACCAUGGCCAUCGCCCUCUACCUGUACCUGAGCAUCGUCCGGGGCUCGCCCGCGGGCUCGGGCUGGCUCUGGGGCUUCCACGCCGUCAGCUGGGGUGUGCCCCUGGCCAUCACGGUGGCCGCUGUGGCUCUGAGGAAGAUUGGCUACGACGCCUCCAACGUCUCCGUGGGCUGGUGCUGGGUGGACCUGGAGGCCGAGGAUCGGCUGCUGUGGAUGCUGCUGACAGGGAAGCUCUGGGAGAUCCUGGCCUAUGUCACCCUGCCCGUGCUCUACAUCCUCAUCAAGAAGCACAUUAACAGAGCACACGCUGCUCUCUCUGAGUACCGCCCCAUCCUGCCUGGAGCCCCCGCCCUGCAGCCCCGCGCCAGCAUCGCCGACAAGAAACUCAUCCUCAUCCCCAUCAUCUUCAUCUUCCUGCGCAUCUGGAGCACGGUGCGCUUCAUCCUCACCCUCUGCAACUCCCCUGCCGUGCAGAACUCCGUCCUGGUUGUGCUGCACGGAAUUGGGAACACGUUCCAAGGAGGAGCCAACUGCAUCAUGUUCGUGCUGUGCACACGGGUGAUGAGGGCCAGGCUGCUGGCCCUGCUGUGCUGUGGCCACUGUGCCCAGCUGGGCUGGCCCCUGCAGGGCUCCCAGGGCUCCUGGCAGCAGCCACAGCCCCACCAGCACAAGGACAGGGACAAGGACAAGGACGUGCCCAGCCCCGAGCAGAGCAAGCUGCUCUCCAGCACCUGAGCUGCCCCUGCUGCUGCUGAUUCCUGCUCACAUGGCUUUAAAAACUUCUGAGAGCUAAAUAGCAACCUUGAUAGCUCAACCUCUUGUGAAUCCCAAAAGGCUUGGAAAGAGGAGCUGUGUUAAACUUCUUGCAGAAAGGUGUGGGGUGGUGCCACAGUCCCACAGAGGGAGCUGCAGCCCAGGGAAAGCAGCGCUGGAGCGGCUGAGCCUGGACAGGUCCCAUUCCUCACUCCCACAUUGCAGCCUCUGCUCCUCAGCAGGCUCAGGAUCCUCUGGAACAGACUCUGCUCACUUUGUGUUCAGCUGUGCUCCAGUUUCUCUCCCCUCCUUCCUCUCACCCUCCCCUGUAAACCUGAAAACUUGUUUGGGGUUUUGCUUUUCUGCCUGCUGAGGCCAGCGCCAAGUGAGCUGAGAGCUGGACAGAGGCUCAGGUGGGACAAGGGAGCUGCAGGAGCUGCAGGAGGGGAUGGACUGUCCCAGAUGAGGAGGGUGAGCCUUCCCCAGAGCCCAGCCUGGCUCCCAUCCUUCCCUCGAAGAGGGACAAGUGUUUAUUCUGUGGUGGUGAUGGAUGGUGCUCUGGAGGGUUUAUCUCUCCUCCUCAGUGCUUAGGGUCAGGUUUUGGUUUGUGGUGGGGAUCUCCUGGGGGGAUCAGAGCCCUGCAGGCUCCUCAGUGCUCAGGGACUUUGGGAUGUGCCCCCAGCUCCAGCAGUAGGACAGUGCCUGGCUCUGAGCUCUGACUCCUGUGUCUGUGCCUUGGGGCUGGUGGGUCACUCUGGGGAGGGGAUGGCCCUUUGUGUGCCAUCUGCAGAUUGUGUUUUACCUUAGUCACAGCUCCUCACUUGCUUGUUUUUUAAGUAUUUUCUCAAACUUUUACAAAAUAAAGUUCUAUUUCUUUACCAGGA